AAUCCAUGGUGAGGGCACCUCCUCAAUAGGCCAUUGUAUCUCUCCCAUGCAUCAUAAAGCGUUUCCAGAUCCAUCUACACCAAAGAAGAGAUGCCAUUCCUCAACUU
rfam:Gossypium arboreum cultivar AKA8401 contig_51660_1, whole genome shotgun sequence.